UGAAUGUGAGAGGUUUACGAGAGAGAGUAAAGAGAUAUGCUAUCCUUGAGUGGAUGAAGAGGUUCCUGCCAGCCAUCAUCUGCCUCCAAGAGACACACCUGGAUAAGGAAUCUCUAAGGUGGUUGGAGAAGAGAUGGAUAGUGGAUGGGUACCACUCCGUAUAUACCACUUAUUCUAGAGGGGUCUCAAUUUUGAUACACAAUAAGAUUAAAUUUGAGUUUUUGGCAGUGUAGG